ensembl:ncRNA F43C9.7 ncRNA
GAACGCAAGAAUGCACUAAUUCAUCAUUUCUUGAUGGAAAGUUGGGACAAAACGUGAGGACGGAAAUUUCUGUUUCAACAACAGCUGUCGUUGUGUUGUCUCCAUCCGUCGUCAUC